ACGAACGCUGGCGGCGUGCCUAAUACCUGCAAGUAGAACGCACAGUUUAUACCGUAGCUUGCUACACCAUAGACUGUGAGUUGCGAACGGGUGAGUAACGCGUAGGUAACCUGCCUGGUAGCGGGGGAUAACUAUUGGAAACGAUAGCUAAUACCGCAUAAUAUUAAUUAUUGCAUGAUAAUUGAUUGAAAGAUGCAACUGCAUCACUACCAGAUGGACCUGCGUUGUAUUAGCUAGUAGGUGAGGUAACGGCUCACCUAGGCGACGAUACAUAGCCGACCUGAGAGGGUGAUCGGCCACACUGGGACUGAGACACGGCCCAGACUCCUACGGGAGGCAGCAGUAGGGAAUCUUCGGCAAUGGACGAAAGUCUGACCGAGCAACGCCGCGUGAGUGAAGAAGGUUUUCGGAUCGUAAAGCUCUGUUGUAAGAGAAGAACGGGUGUGAGAGUGGAAAGUUCACACUGUGACGGUAUCUUACCAGAAAGGGACGGCUAACUACGUG
rnacentral:rRNA from 1 species